rfam:Hordeum vulgare subsp. vulgare, WGS project CAJW01000000 data, contig: morex_contig_104700
AAAAUACCCCCCUCCGUUCCAAAAAAUUUGUCUUAGAUUUGUUUAGAUAUGAAUGUAUAUCUAGUCAAGUUUUAGUAUUUAGAUACAUUCAUUUCUAAACAAAGUUAAGACAAGAAAUUUAGAACGGAGGGAGUACGUC